rnacentral:misc_RNA from 1 species
GUACGAAGGAAGGUUUGGUAUGGGGUAGUUGUCGUAC